rnacentral:lncRNA from 1 species
GGGCUCAAGGCUUCUCUAGUUUUAUGAGAACUUGUACUACUGAAUUUGCCAAUUUUGUUUUCUGAGCUGAACGGAUGUCUGGGGGACUAUGUUGAGCUGUGAUGGCGUUUCACUGUGAUCCCCCCAAGUUCAAGGCAGUCUUUAAUGCAAUGUUGGCUUAAGUCCCCCGGGAGCUGACACAUCAGCUUUCCUUCAGUGACAGUUGGUGUUCAAGAUGAUUUUGGCGUAUGUGCUUAAUCCAGAGUCUGUUCUGUAUGUGCUGUCCUAACUAUUCAUUGUAUUAAUUGAUUGUUUUGUUAUCUUGCUUGAAGAUUGAUUUGUAUGGAAUUUGAU